rnacentral:rRNA from 1 species
CGGACGGGUGAGUAACACGUGGAUAACCUACCUAUAAGACUGGGAUAACUUCGGGAAACCGGAGCUAAUACCGGAUAAUAUAUUGAACCGCAUGGUUCAAUAGUGAAAGACGGUUUUGCUGUCACUUAUAGAUGGAUCCGNGCCGCAUUAGCUAGUUGGUAAGGUAACGGCUUACCAAGGCAACGAUGCGUAGCCGACCUGAGAGGGUGAUCGGCCACACUGGAACUGAGACACGGUCCAGACUCCUACGGGAGGCAGCAGCU